rnacentral:rRNA from 1 species
CCAGACUCCUACGGGAGGCAGCAGUGGGGGAUAUUGCACAAUGGGGGGAACCCUGAUGCAGCGACGCCGCGUGGGUGAAGGAGUAUUUCGGUAUGUAAAGCCCUAUCGGCAGGGAAGAAGCAAGACGGUACCUGACUAAGAAGCCCCGGCUAACUACGUGCCAGCAGCCGCGGUAAUACGUAGGGGGCGAGCGUUAUCCGGAUUCACUGGGUGUAAAGGGAGCGUAGACGGCGACGCAAGUCUGAAGUGAAAUGCCAGUGCUCAACACUGGAACUGCUUUGGAAACUGUGUGGCUAGAGUGCAGGAGAGGUAAGUGGAAUUCCUAGUGUAGCGGUGAAAUGCGUAGAUAUUAGGAGGAACACCAGUGGCGAAGGCGGCUUACUGGACUGUAACUGACGUUGAGGCUCGAAGGCGUGGGGAGCAAACAGGAUUAGAUACCCUCGUAGAA